CCUCCUUUCUAAGGAAACCAAUAAAAUCAAUCAUCUUCAGUUUUGAAAGACUUAGGCAACUAAGUUUUUCUUCGUGACUUCACGAAGGGCCUAUAGCUCAGUUGGUUAGAGCACACGCCUGAUAAGCGUGAGGUCGGUGGUUCAAGUCCAUUUAGGCCCACCAGAGUUAUAGGUUUCGUAAGAACACAAAUUCUUUGAAAAUUAGGUAAAUAAUAGUUAUUUAUCCGGAACAUUAAAGGAA
rnacentral:misc_RNA from 3 species